rnacentral:rRNA from 1 species
AUUGAACGCUGGCGGCAUGCUUUACACAUGCAAGUCGAACGGCAGCGCGUGCUUCGGCCUGGCGGCGAGUGGCGAACGGGUGAGUAAUGCAUCGGAACGUGCCCAGUAGUGGGGGAUAGCCCGGCGAAAGCCGGAUUAAUACCGCAUACGACCUGAGGGUGAAAGCGGGGGACCGAUAGCCCUCGCGCUAUUGGAGCGGCCGAUGUCGGAUUAGCUAGUUGGUGGGGUAAAGGCUUACCAAGGCGACGAUCCGUAGCUGGUCUGAGAGGACGACCAGCCACACUGGGACUGAGACACGGCCCAGACUCCUACGGGAGGCAGCAGUGGGGAAUUUUGGACAAUGGGGGCAAGCCUGAUCCAGCCAUGCCGCGUGCGGGAAGAAGGCCUUCGGGUUGUAAAGCGCUUGUGUUCGGGAAGAAAACCUCUGGGCUAAUACCCAGGGGGGAUGACGGUACCGGAAGAAUAAGCACCGGCUAACUACGUG